CCUACGGGCGGCAGCAGUGAGGACUAUUGGUCAAUGGCCGAGAGGCUGAACCAGCCACGUCGCGGGAGGGAAGACGGCCCUGCGUGUUGUAAACCUCUUUUGUCGGGGAGCAACGCGAGUCACGUGUGACUCCUUGAGAGUACCCGAAGAAAAAGCAUCGGCUAACUCCGUGCCAGCAGCCGCGGUACUACGGAGGAUGCGAGCGUUAUCCGUAUUUAUUGGGUUUAAAGGGUGCGCAGGCGGAGGUGCAAGUCAGCGGUCAAAUUGCGGGGCUCAACCCCGUACUGCCGUUGAAACUGCAUCCCUUGAGUGCGCGAGAAGUAUGCGGAAUGCGUGGUGUAGCGGUGAAAUGCAUAGAUAUUACACAGAACACCGAUUGCGAAGGCAGCUUGCGAGGCCGGAUCUGACACUGAUGCACGAAAGCGUGGGGAUCGAACAGGAUUAGAUACCCGAGUAGUC
rnacentral:rRNA from 1 species